rnacentral:lncRNA from 1 species
CCUAUAUCGCACACCCUCCCUCGCGGUGACUCCCGUGGCCCAGUGCGGUGUCGCGUCGCGCGGUCUGGCCUACCUCCUCUCCGGAGCGUGCGAGCGCGCUUUGCCUUUGCCUUUGCGCAGAUCCUUUUUCGAUCAAUAACAACGCGCGAGUGUUGAGCCGCGCCGCGCCGUCGACGAGCGGCAGUCGGCCACGCGAGAUUCCCCCGCGAUCAGUCCUCGCGCAGUUCGCGGCUCCGCGGUCCUCGGUUCGAGCCCCAGUGCGUAUCGCGGAUCCAGCGGCACCGCUAGCCUCCCUAGACUAGAACUCUCGCCUCACAUUCCGUGAAACCACCCAUGGACCGUAAGAGGUGUUGUCGGGAAAUUCGAUUGCGUGUGUGUGUUGAACUGUGACGUCAACGUGUGAUGGGAGGCAUGAUCGAAAGGCUGCUCAUAGUAUCGCGCCGAACGUGGAAGUUUUUCUAACAUUGUUGAAACCGGACCCAAGUUCCGCCGUAUUAAGCUCACUGUCAUCCAGUGGAACCUAACUCGACAGAAACAACGUAUCCAAGGAUGAAUCCACCCGGUUUGGAUGAUGUGGCGCCCAAGGACCCGAAAGCCGCUCAGCAAACGCGCCAGGAAUUCACCGAGCAAGAUUUUGAGGAUGGGCGGUAUUGUUUCUUGGCCAUCGUUUUGUAAAAUUGUGUGUGGUACACAAUUGUGCGCUGGUUCUUACUGAAAUGGGCUGCAAAGUUCGAAAAAGAGCCCAAAUUAAGACUGUGAUGAAGGCUUCACGCGAUGCUGAUAUUCCACCUCUCAUCGGAGGACAAUCAUAUCGAUUCUCAGUUUUGUUAAACGCUUUUUAAUGCUCUCAAAAUUAUUGGGUUAAAAUUCCAAUAAUGAUGUUAUGAUGAGGGUAUGAGAUGAAUUAUCUGUUUGAAAGUUGACAAUAGUGACGGUAAAGUUUAACUUCAUUCACAUCAAAUUUGCUAUUUAUCGUUCUCUGACCUUGAAAUGCUCUAAAAAGGUCACAUUUUAGGAAUUUGGGGAGAUUUUCACGUCGAAUGAUUAACCUGAAUCAAUGAUACAUUAACUUUAAUAACCUUACUAACCUCUAAGUAAAAUGUAUCAAUUUAUUUUUACUCAAAAUUGUUGGAUAAAAAUAAAAACACCCACAAUUUUACACAAUAUGUUAGAGUGAUUGCAACUCAUUCCAUUAAAUGUUGAUGAGAUUUUCCGUAGAAAACUCAAAAAUCUGACUUUCGACUCACUUGACUAAAUUUCUCUCCUGUAAAUGAUUUUCCUCUGCUGACAAAGGUGACAAGGAUCACAAAUCUCGCGAAGAACCCCAAAACUCAAAGGGGGAUACAAAAAAGGGGUUGGACAAAGUUCUUUUUGAAUCAAUGGACCGUGGAUUUUAAAUGACGCCCCUCCCCCUCAGAGAAUUCGAAAAAAAGGCGUUGAAAUCUCCCCAUGACGCAAUUAUAAAUCUGCUACCCUUGUCUGAAUCCCAUGCCAGCUUGUACGUGUCAGCCAUGACCCGAUUAUACCCAUUAUUUUUUUAAACCAUGACCCCUGUGAUACCCGGCGCAAGAACAAAGGGAAUGAAAAAGCAAGAGAGGAUUUUGCUCGGUUCUCAAAUCGCUCGGUAAACCAAUGAUUUCCUAUGCACCUGCUUGAAUGAAAAAACUACAAUCGAAUUACAUUGCGAACGGAUUGUAUAUCAAUGGGGCG